CACGUAGUUAGCCGUGACUUUCUAAGUAGUUACCGUCAAAUAAAGGCCAGUUACUACCUCUAUCUUUCUUCACUACCAACAGAGCUUUACGAGCCGAAACCCUUCUUCACUCACGCGGCGUUGCUCCAUCAGACUUUCGUCCAUUGUGGAAGAUUCCCUACUGCUGCCUCCCGUAGGAGUUUGGGCCGUGUCUCAGUCCCAAUGUGGCCGAUCAGUCUCUCAACUCGGCUAUGCAUCAUUGCCUUGGUAAGCCGUUACCUUACCAACUAGCUAAUGCACCGCAGGUCCAUCCAAGAGUGAUAGCAGAACCAUCUUUCAAACUCUAGACAUGCGUCUAGUGUUGUUAUCCGGUAUUAGCAUCUGUUUCCAGGUGUUAUCCCAGUCUCUUGGGCAGGUUACCCACGUGUUACUCACCCGUCCGCCGCUCGCUUGUAUCUAGUUUCAUUUAGUGCAAGCACUAAAAUCAUCUAGGCAAGCUCGCUCGA
rnacentral:rRNA from 1 species